AAGCAAUUUGCUCAUAGCCAUAGCUUUCUUGUGAAAGUAGGAUAUUAACCCAGGUGUCUUGGUGCUGGAGAACAGAACUGGCCAGAGUCCAUCCUGUCUCCCACCGGCAUCCCAUUACGAAAUGAACACAGAAAAGGCAGGUCUGCAAUGCCAACAUCUAGUAUCUAUCCCAAAGACCAGGGAGAAAGGAAGGAAAGAUUCUGGUUCUGUCCUCUUCCCCAAGGCAAGGCUGGCUGCCCUACCAACAGAGGCAAAGAGAAGAGUGUGCAAGGCUGGCUGCCCUCCCAACAGAGGCAAAGAGGAGUGUGUGUUGAAAUAUCCAUUGAAUCCCUGAGACAACUGGAUCCUGGCCCAUUGAAUCAUAAACUCAUUAUGGAGGCUGGGAAGACCUAGAAUGUGGCAUCACUAUUUGCUGAAAUUUUUAAUAUAAUGCCUCUUAGCCUGGUUUGGAGAAAACGUCACAGAGAGGCACCAUUUGUUGUGGUUUUACAUGAAAAUUUUCUGACCCUGAACCUGGUUUGAUGGAAAUCAUUUGCUGAGGUUAUUUAGAAAAUUGUUACCUCAAAAAUGACCUAGGGGUCCUUAGAAUAAUAACACACAGAAGAAUAGCCUCAUUUUUCUGUUGGGCCCAGGAAACCAUGCCGAUUACCGACCGAGCUCUCAAUGGAAAAAUGCAGUCGGCGUGAACCACGCACGAACACAGCAGAGAAAGAAGAAAACACACACCACGAGGAACCCUAAUAGGACAAUACAUUAUAAGUCACAGUGCUACGGAGAAACCCAGUAGCCACAUGGAAGCAGAGACCAUGCAUAUGCAUCUACUCCGCAGCUCUGUGAAUGUCAGCAGCUCCCACGGACUGGAGAUCCCGUGAGAUCCCGUGAGAUCUCACCCAUAGCCUCAUGGUACAUCCACUUGGUGUGCUGGGAGAGUCAGGAUGAGGACCUGAGAAGAACAGCAGCUUGAACCUGACUUCAUUUAACAGCCCACUGCCCUCUUGCCAAGAACCCAUCACAGACCUUCCCAGAAGAGAGGGAUGAGCCUCACCUAUGAAUAAGUCCUCAGAAACUCAAAUUUGAUUCUAAUGGAUUGUUUUCUCAGAAAGACUGAGCAUGUCCCCCCACAUCUCUGUCAUUUCCCACAGUAGUAACCUCUGCAGAUGCCACAUAGAAAACAAAACAAAACAAAAAAACAUGAGGUUGGUGGGCAGAUAGGCAGGGUAUAAACAAACAGCCUUGUAACCCAGAAGCUGUGUGAUAUACAGUAAACUUCACAACACUGAAAAGAUGUCCUAUCUGUUAAAAUGGGGUAAUAACAACUACCCGAAUGUUUAGGAAUAGAACUUCAAUAAAUGAUACAUUUUAUAGUACAGCAGACCAUCCUGUAAAGGUUUCAUCCUUCACUGUGGUGAUAAAUAUCCCAAACCACAUUGAAAAGCAUUGCAUCUACAUUUAUCUACACUGUAACUGUACUGUAAAUCAUGGGGGAGGGGAGAAUCAUAAAAACACCACCUGUCACCGUGUCAUUAAAGCAAGUUGGAAGUGAUACUUACAGAAACACAGCAAGAGCACCCCCAGUCACACAGUUCAAUCUCUUAGCAAGCGUUUUCUUUCUAGCCCAGUGGUUCUCAGUUUGGAAUUUUUGGCACUGCCUAGAGAUAGUUUUGUUGUUAAAACUGAGAAAAGAGCCGGGCGUGGUGGCACACGCCUUUAAUCCCAGCACUCAGGAGGCAGAGGCAGG
rnacentral:lncRNA from 1 species